AGUUUAGCUCCUGAAUGAGGUCUUCUGCUGCUCUCCUCGGUGUCUGUUCACAGUUUAUUGUGAACACAUUGAGAGAAGAGUGAGAGAGUGUUUGGAGAAAAACACCAACUAAUCAUUAGCUCAGCAUGCUGGGAGAAGUUGAGCGUUUGCUGGCAGAAAGUUGGAGCAGAAAAGUCUUUUCAUUGUCCCUGCAGCUGUUUUUCUGCAUGCACCAAACCUCUACAGCCUCAUUUCUAUUUAAGUGAUAACAGGAAAUCAGAGCGAUCUGCUGCAGUAUCAGGGUCACAAUAAACUUUAUUGUCCAGCUGCUGUGGAUGAACACAUGAGAGGAAGUGAACUCCUACAAAGUCUCAUUUUAAUGAGUCUGGCUGCUGUAAAGUGAUGUUAACAAAAACUAAUGAAACACAGAUGAAAGUAAACAGUGUUCAUAUUUGAAAGCACAGAGAAUAAAAAUAUAUUGUGGAGGUUAAUGUGCAGCUCUUGGUGAUUUGGGAGACGAAGAAUGUGUGAGGACUAGAAAAGUUAUACAAAACCUUUGCCAUCAAAUGUUAUGGGGACUGUAAUUAAUAUUAGAUUACUUUGAUUGUUAAUUGCAUACUGACUGAUAUAAAAUAAAAUAAAUAGAAAAGUUAUAAAUUGACAUUAAGAGUUGUUUGUGCAGAGUUAGUGGAAGGCCGCAUGCAGGAAUGAGGGAGUGUAAGUAGGGCAAGGUCGAAUAACAGCAGCUCUCACAGACAGCGUUAUCAGUUCACUGCUUCAGUGUCUUCACGAAAACUUUAGAGAGUUUUAGUUUGUGCCUGUUUGCAGGGAUCAAGUGAACCAUGACAUGGUCUGAGAAUCCUGGUGCAGUGUGGGAUGAUGACCCUCUUACUAUCAGCUCACCUUCAGUUUUUCAGAUGUUUUCUCCAGUUUGUGUACAAACUGCCACAAAGUUAUAAUGAAGCACCAAACUGCAGUUACUCAGUCAGUGGAGGUUCAGUAGUGCAGUUUCUCACCACUGUUGUUAACUGGAGGCUGACACACUGACUGAAGACAUUUAGUCUGAGUAGAUUUGAACUUUCCUUCUUGUUAUUUCCAUCUUGCUUUGACUGCAGCUGUAACAACACUGAUUCCAGCAGGAUUUGUAAAAAGCAUUUUAACAGACACACAAAGCUGGACAGCUUUUGUUCUGAGGGUUUGGAGAGAGUCUGUCUCUGUGUGUGUCUGCAUUCACUUUGUUCCUCUAACAGAAAAUCAAUGUGCAGAUGUUGAUUCUUGCAGUGACUGUUGUUCUUCAGCCUGUAGAAACCAUCCUGCAGCUGCUGGAACAAAUGAAUCUUCUAAAUGUUGCUUUUCUCUGGUUUGUGUUUGCUCUGCUUCUUUUUGUCAGAGAUCAAAUACACAUAAAUAUUCUUUUGUGUCCCAGCUGAUCAGCAGCAGGAGAGUCUGACGGAGGAACAUUUUCAGCCAUUUGGACUCAGCUCAGCCACUACAGAGGAAACAAUGAGCUCAACACAGACGGACCAACAUAGAGAGAGAAGUCAGCGCUCUCAGGAGGCCGACAAACCUCACAGAAGAAAGGGAGAGAAAAAAUACAUCUGUGAUGAGUGUGGGAAGGAUUUUACUCAGAACUCCAGCCUGAAAUAUCAUCGGCUCAUCCACACUGGGGAGAGACCGUUCACCUGUGACUUGUGUGGAAAGUCUUUUAUCAAGGCCGGAAGCUUGAAAACACACCAACUCAUCCACAGUGGAGUUAAACCAUACAGCUGUGAUCAGUGUGGCAAAGCUUUUGCUCGCAGUAGCUACUUAAAGAGUCAUCAAGUUACCCACUCUGGAAUUAAGGCUUACAGCUGUGACAUUUGUGGAAAAACUUUCAGCCAUCGAGGGUAUCGAAAUAUUCACCAACGCAUCCACACCAGACAUGAUGUUUACUGCUGUGAUCAGUGUGGGAAACUAUUUGUAACAGACACACAGUUACAACAUCACAUGUUUACCCACACCGAGGAGAGACCUUAUAAAUGUGACAAGUGUGAGAAGACGUUUAAAGCUCCACAUUACCUGAGAGUCCACCAACAGAUCCACUCCAAUAAGAAAUUGUACAAGUGCAGUUACUGUGUCCCAGCUGAUCAGCAGGAGGAGAGUCUGAUGGAGGAACAUUUUCAGCCAUUUGGACUCAGCUCAGCCACUACAGAGGAAACAAUGAGCUCAACACAGACGGUGAGGAAGAAAUGUUGAACCUGUGGUCAAGUAACAAGAAAAUACAAAGAUCACAUUUUAUCAGGACACUGAAAUAAAAUAAAAUCAGCUGCACUUAUCAUUUUUCAUACGAUAUUUUUUUUCCCCAAUGAGGAAUUCAUUUUUCAUAUUUUUACAUUUUUAUUUCUGUCACAGUUCUGGGUCCUUGUGACCCAGCGUUUUGAGUUUUAGUUUAUUUUGAUGUUUAUGGUUUGUUUAAGUUCAUUCAGUUAUCUAAGUUCAUUUGUUAUUCCCCUUGUGUCUUCUACCCCUCUGUUUUAGUCUCCUUCAUGUGUUUCAUGUCUUUGUGUCUUAUGUUGUGAAGUUCAUGUUCUCAUGUCUGCGUCUCAUUAUGUUUCCUGUUUUAUUUUGAAGAGGUCCUAUGUUCCCGUGUUCUGUGUUACACUUCCCUUGUGAUCAUGUCUUAUGUUCAUGUGUGUCAGCUGUUUCCCUAUGUGUUCAUACUUCCCUCAUUAGCCUCAUGUGUGUAUUUAGUCCGUGUGUUUUCAUUCAUUCCUUGUCGGGUCGUCUGCUCGUCCACACCAUGGGCCCGUUCUUCGUACCUCGCUAAGACCAACAUGAAGCGAGACGUCAGCGCUCUCAGGAGGCCGACAAACCUCACAGAAGAAAGGGAGAGAAAAAAUACAGCUGUGAUGAGUGUGGAAAGGAUUUUACUCAAAAGACUAACCUGAAACUUCAUCAAUUCAUCCACAGUGGAGUUAAACCAUACAGCUGUGAGUUGUGUGGAAAGUCUUUUACCCGGCUUGGAAGCUUAAAAACACACCAACUCAUCCACAGUGGAGUUAAACCAUACAGCUGUGAUAAGUGUGGUAAAGCUUUUGUUCUCAGAGGCAACUUACGGCGUCAUCAAGUUACCCACUCUGGAAUUAAGGCUUACAGCUGUGACAUUUGUGGAAAAACCUUUAGCCAGCUAGGGUAUCGACAUAUUCACCUGCGCAUCCACACUAGACAUGAUGUUUACUGCUGUGGUCAGUGUGGGAAACUGUUUACAACAGAUGCCCAGUUACAGCACCACAUGCUUACCCACACCGAGGAGAGACCUUAUAAAUGUGACCUGUGUGAUAAGGCUUUUAAAGAGCCACGUUCCCUGAGAAGACACGAACAGAUCCACAGCAGAAAGAAACUCUACAAGUGCAGUUACUGUGAAAAGCAGAGCGACACAGAUGGAUCCAGUUCUCAACCCUGUCGUCACUGUGGUGGUGGGAAAAUGUUUCGUUGUGACUUUUGUGGAAAAACUUUAAGUAAUCGAGAGAGCCUAAAAGUACAUCAACGUAGACACACUGGAGACAAAAUGAACUACUGCAAAGAGUGUGGGAAAGGCUUCCCCACAUCAAAUGCUUUAAAAAAACACGAACUCUGUCACAGUGGGGUUAAAAAGCACAUCUGUGACCAGUGUGGGUCAUCUUUCAAAACUGCAGAUGAUCUUAAAGUGCAUAAACGAGUCCACACAGGAGAGAAACCAUACAAGUGCAGACACUGUGACACAAGCUUCUCACGGUCAGGUCAUCGUAAUGUUCAUGAACGUACACACAUUAAAGGGAACUUCAGCUGUGACCACUGUGACAAAAGCUUCAAGAAUUUCAGUUCGUACUCCAAACAUAAACGAUCUCACGCUGUAAAUAAACUGUUUCACUGUUACCAAUGUGCAAAAACAUUCACUUCCUUAUCUGCUCUGUGCAAACAUCAACGUGAUCAUCAGAGGUGGGUAGAGUAGCCAAAAAUUGUACUCAAAUAAUAGUAGCACUACCUCAACAUAGUUUUACUCAAGUAAAAGUAAAACAUAGCUGUCCAAGAAAUUACUCAAGUAAGAGUAAGAAAGUAUUUAGGAUGUACUUGAUGUGCUACUUGAGUACUGAGUAACUGAUCAUAAUAUCUGAUUUAAUGUUUAAAAAUGAGAUAACGAGAUAGGGAAAAUUAUAAAGUUUAGUGGAACUUUUGGUACUUUAAAGACCAAAAAGGAAAAAAAAAACUACAUAUAAAUAACAUAAUUACAUGAUUAAAAUUCAAAAAUACAAAAUAAUCAAUCUAAGCAAAAAUACCUUUCAAGUCAUUAUUAAACUUCUCCAAAUAGCACAACAGGAAAUACAAAAUAAAUAAAAUAAUACACUAUGUUUUUAUAUAGUGAGAAAGAGGGAUUAUGCAAAUGGAUAACAAACAGCCAUUAAAGUUCAUCAUACAUCGAGAAUAGUAGACAAAUCAACAAUACACCUCUUCCAAUUAAUGGCUAAUUAACAUUAUUCCGAACACAGUCCAAAACAUUCAAUAAGCCACAUCAUUGUCUACUGUCCAUCUACUGUUUACUAUCAUAACCAAGUGGCUAACAAAGGUAAACAGAAUGCCCAAAUGGUUGAUUCUGUUUAUCUGGAUGUAGCGUUUUCAGUUGGAGAAAUGUUUCAUCACUCAUCCAAGUGACUUCUUCAGUCUCAGCUGACUGCAAUCUUAUAAAUGGUAAAUUUGCAUAAUGACUGAAAGAGCCCACUGAAUGAACAAUGAUCUCAGCAGACAGAAUAUCAUGAAAACAGCAAACCUAAUGUACAAACAAGAAGUCUCAGUGACAUAACCAGUAGGUUUGCAUCUGUCUCAUGUAUUUUGCUUAAAACACGUUUAUUGUUCAUUCACUUAAUUUAUUCACGCUGAGUAGAGUAGGCAGCAUUUUUAGUCAGGAGUAGUGUAGUGAUAUUUCAUAAUAAUACUACUUAAGUAAAAGUACAGUGUAGUAAAACUGGUGUGGUAAAUGUAAUUAGUUAUUA